GGGCUCCUGGCUGCCCGCGUCUCCAUAGCGACCGCCUCUGGCCCGCCUCAGAAAUCAGGGCUCGCAGGUAGGGGGUCCCUUCCCGGCCGUGGCGAGAGUAGUCGCAGACGGUGACCAGUUUGGAGGACCGGGGUACCUGAUCGCCUUUCCUGCUCUUUGGUAUGCUGGAUACUGAACGUGGGGCUCUGGCCAUGGUAGGCAAGAUGCGAGAAUUAAAGAACAAGAGGAAGGGCCAGGGAUUUAGCUCAGUGGUGCCACACCUGCCUCACAAACGCAAGGUCCUGAGUUUGAUCCCAGGUACAAAAAAAAAAAAAAACAAGAAGAAGAGGAGAAACAGGUG
ensembl:lncRNA